GAGGGUAUAGCUCAGUGGUAGACUGCCUGCCUAGCAUGCAUGAGGUCCUGGGUUCAAUUCCCAGCACCUCUG
rnacentral:tRNA from 1 species